rnacentral:misc_RNA from 1 species
CAAGAAUUGGAAAAACGGUUCCAAGAACGUUGCAAGUGUUUAUGUCGACGGUAGUUUUGUUGCUUCCGGCACUUCAAUGCAAAAAGAAAUUGCAAGGCUUAAUGCUGCUAGAGAAGCUCUCAUUAAAUUGUCGGAUUUCAUGGACACCAGAAUUAGAACAGUUGUAACUAUUGAUGGUAUUGAUGAAUCGUUUGAGAUUGAAGGGGCAAAG